AUUGAACGCUGGCGGCAGGCCUAACACAUGCAAGUCGAACGAGUGGCGGACGUGUGAGUCAUGUCUGGGAACCUGCCUGAUGGAGGGGGAUAACUCCUGGAACCGGUAGCUAAUACCGCAUACCCUCGGAUGUGCCCAGGUGGGAUUAGCUAGUGGGUGGGGUAAAGGCUCACCUAGGCGACGUUCCCUAGCUGGUCUGAGAGGAUGACCAGCCACACGGGAACUGAGACACGGUCCAGACUCCGACGGGAGGCAGCAGUGGGGAAUAUUGCACAAUGGGCGCAAGCCUGAUGCAGCCAUGCCGCGUGGAUGAAGAAGGCCUUCGGGUUGUAAAGUACUUUCAGCGGGGAGGCGUUACCCGCAGAAAAAGCACCGGCUAACUCCGUGCCAGCAGCCGCGGUAAUUC
rnacentral:rRNA from 1 species